GUGUGCGCACGUACAGAGCUUUGUUGAAGGCUUUGACAACUGGCAGCAGCCUCAAAAGAGCCUCCUCUGAGGCAGAGUAUUUCCUCAGGUCAAACACUUCCAGAUCUUUUUCUGAUGACAGUAA